UUUAAGUGCAACCAUAUUAUUCAAGAGGAAUGAAGAACAGUAGCUGAUACAUCAGAUACAGAUUCAGCACACACUGCAAUAACUGAUACUCUGUAAGGCAUACCAGUCUGUAUCAACUACACAAACUGACAGCCGUUUCUCUAGCGGGGCCUCUCUGAGCUGUUGCCAAAGACUCUUGGUUAUAAAAAUGGGAAGAUGUUUUCUUGAAGUUGUUCAUGGUUUUGGCUUGUAUUUAUACUCUUAUAAACAAAAAAAUGGGUAGAAAUUUAAAUGUCAUAGUUAUAUAACUAUCAUGUUAAGGACUUAAUAAAUGUUAUUUUGUUGUUUC
rnacentral:lncRNA from 7 species